AGGACGAACGCUGGCGGCGUGCCUAACACAUGCAAGUCGAACGAGGUCCAACCGGUGGCAACACUGGUGAAGACCGAGUGGCGAACGGGUGAGUAACACGUGAGCAACCUGCCUCGAAGACUGGGAUAACCUCGGGAAACCGGGGCUAAUACCGGAUACGACCUCGAGCGGCAUCUCUUGAGGUGGAAAGCUCCGACGGUGAGGGAUGGGCCCGCGGCCUAUCAGCUUGUUGGUGGGGUAAUGGCCUAUCAAGGCUACGACGGGUA
rnacentral:rRNA from 1 species